ensembl:lncRNA
CCUCCUUUCCAGCACCUUGGAGUAGACUUUACUAGGGAGGCUGAGAAGUGUGAUACCCCGGUAAUUGGCACUCACUCUCUGGUCCCCCUUUUUGAACAGGGGAACCACCACCCCGGUUUGCCACUCCUUUGGCACUGUACCCGACUCCCACACGAUGUUGAAUAGGCGUGUCAACCAUGACAGCCCCUCAACACCCAGAGCCUUUAGCAUUUCUGGCUGGAUCUCAUCAAUCCCUGGGGCUUUGCCACUGCGGAGAUGUUUGACUACCUCAGUGACCUCCACCAGGGAAAUUGACGACGAAACACCAUCAACCUCGAGCUCUGCCUCCAACAUAGUGGGCGUGUUAUUCGGAUUCAGGAGUUCCUCAAAGUGUUCCUUCCAAUGUCCGACAACCUCCUCAGUUGAGGUCAACAGAGUCCCAUCCUUACUGUACACAGCUUGGAUGGUUCCCCGUUUCCCCCUCCUGAGGUGCCGGAUAGUCUUCGAAAAAACACUUUGGUGCCGACCGAAAGUCCUUCUCCAUGGCCUCUCCGAACUUCUCCCACACCCGCUGCUUAGCCUCCGACACGGCAGCGGCUGCAGCCCUUCGGGCCUGUCGGUACCCUGCAACCGAGUCAGGAGUCCUCCAGGAUAUCAUAUCCCGGAAGGCCUCCUUCUUCAAUCGGACGGCUUCCCUGACCAUCGGUGUCCACCACGGUGUCCGAGGGUUACCGCCCCUUGAGGAGCCUAAGACCCUGAGGCCACAGCUUGCCACAGCAGCUUCAGCAAUUGAGGCUUUGAACACCGCCCACUCCGGCUCAAUGCCCCCAACCUCCACAGGAAUGCCAGAAAAACUCCGCCGGAGGUGUGAGUUGAAGACACCUAGGACGGGGGCCUCCUCCAGACGUUCCCAGUUCACCCGCACUACUCGUUUGGGCUAACCAGGUCUAUCCGGAAAUUUCCCCCAUUCCCUGAUCCAACUCACAACCAGAUGGUGGUCGGUUGACAGUUCCGCCCCUCUCUUUACCCGAAUGUCCAAAACAUGCGGCCUCAGAUCAGAUGACACGAUCACAAAAUCUAUCAUUGAUCUUCGGCCUAGGGUACUCUGGUACCAGGUACACUUAUGAGCACCCUUAUGUUCGAACAUGGUGUUUGUUAUGGAUAAUCCAUGACUAGCACAGAAGUCCAAUAACAAACGACCGCUCGGGUUUAGAUCAGGGAGGCCGUUCCUCCCCACCACGCCUCUCCAGGUGUCUCCAUCGUUGCCCACGUGGGCGUUGAAGUCACCCAGCAGAACUACGUAGUCCCCUACUGGAGCCCCAUACAGGACUCCAUUCAGGGUCUCCAAGAAGGCCGAGUACUCUGAGCUGCUGUUUGGUGCAUACGCACAAACAACAGUCAGAGUUUUCCCCCCUACAACCCUUAGGCGCAGGGAGGUGACCCUCUCGUCUACCGGGGUAAACUCCAAUACCGCGGCGCUCAGCCGGGGAUUUAUGAGUAUCCCCACACCCGCCCGGCGCCUCACGCCCUUGGCAACUCCGGAGAAGAAUAGAGUCCAACCCUUAUCCAGGAGUACGGUACCAGAGCUGAGACUGUGCGUGAAGGUAAGCCCCACCAGAUCUAACUGAUAGCGCUCCACCUCCCUCACAAGCUCCGGUUCCUUUCCCCACAGCGAGGUGACGUUCCACAUCCCCAGAGCCAGCUUCUGCCGCCCGGGUCUGGUCCGUCGAGACCCCUGACCUUCGCUGCCACCCAUGUGGCUGCGCACCCGACCCCAACGGGUCUUCCCACAGGUGGUGGGCCCAUGAGAUGAAGAGAGGGGGGGUGCCACGUAGUUUGUUCGGGCUGUGCCCGACCGGGCUCCGUGGCAAACCCGGCCACCAGGCGCUCGCCAUCGAGCCCUCCGUCUGGGCCUGGCUCCAGACGGGGGCCCCGGGCUUCCUCCGGGCCGGGUCACAUCUCCUCUUAUUCCGAUAUUCAUUGAGGAUUUUUGAACCAUUCUUAGUCUGGCCCCUCACCUGAGAACACUCUGCCAUGAGAGACCCUACCAGGAGCACAAGGCUCCAGACAACACAGCCCUCAGGUUCACAGGGACACGCAAACCUCUCCACCACGAUAAGGUGACGGUUCCAGGAGAGGUCCAUGCAGAUUGUGUGACAGUAUAUUAUCUUCAAGGGGACCUUAUACCAGAGGGUGAGCUGGCUUGGCAAGUGAUACUAGACCUGAAGGAAAUCGUAGAGUUGGUUGUGGCACCUGUUCACACGCACGAGACCAUUGCGUACCUUGAUGUCAAAGUGUCUGAGCACAGACACAGGUUGCUUGAGCUUAUCCCAGGUAUCAGCACCAUUUUGGGGCGUUCCAGUUAACAUUGUCACCAGGAAGAGAGGUUGCCCUUGUUCAGCUUGAGGAGCUGACGGAUUACUGUCCACUUGUGGCCUACACAGUCGGAUCCAGACGUAUGGGGACCCUGAAGAGACACAUCGUCAUUACAGAUUAGCAAAGCAGGAUGGCAGCACGAGUAACCUUCAGAGUCCUCUUUGGAGGUGAAGAGGAUGCAAGAAAACUCUCCAUUGAAUCCGGAAAACCAAGAACUGUGGAGGACUUGGCUCUUAAAAUCAAGACUUUCUUUGAAGUGACUGCGAAGUUCAGACUUCAGUACAAAGACAAAGACAUGGAUAAUCAGUUCAUGAAUUUCUUGUCAACAUCAGAACUUGAAGAUAAAGGGACGUUGAAAGUGGUGUACAUGCUUUGUGAGACAACCAGGUCCGCUCCACUCACGGAAGAUGCCUGCUGCACAAUCCCAGCCGAGCUGGACACCCCGAGGUUGCCAUCAACUCUCUGAAAAACAAGCAAAGUGGCCAGCAGUCUCCAGCAGCCAACAUCAAGAAGCCCAGGAAGGGAGAUGUACAUUUCUGUCCGAACAUCCCUAGUGGUGAAACAAAACACAGUUAGGAGAUGGAAAGGGUGGCUAUACUGAUGGAGUAAAAAAUAAGAAAAGGGAUGAGGCCCUCAUCAAGGAAAAGAUGCAGCGUACAUUCUCCCUCAGGAGACAGGAGGUUCUCCAGGAGCCAAAGAUUCCAGAGUUUUUCAAUAAAUGGCCAGCACUCUUUGACGUCAUUGAGAUCAACUUGGAGUUUAUGCGGCUGACAACUGUACCACUGACCUCAACAUUUUUGAGGGAACUGGACCGCCUGACCGGCGACCUGAUCAGGGUUUUCAACACUAAAGGGGGAGCUGCAGGGGAAAAAAUCGGAGCCAUGAUGGCAAAGAUGGAGAAUAAUCAAGACAUCAACGUGAGGCGUGAUUGCGUUUUGAGAUGUCUCAGCAUCUACCUCUGUGAAGACCUGGACACAUUGGUCAAAGAAUACGUGGUAAGUAUGUCAUCUUUCUGUCCUUUGUGCCAGAUGUAAUUAAUUUCCCUCUAGGAGCACCUGAUAACAUGUGGUGUUCAUGAGAAUGGGAUGGGCAUUAGGUCACAUUGACCUUGACCACCAGUAGUUCGUCAUUGGGUCCAAUGGGUUGUUUGUUUUGAGUAAGAAAUUCCCUCAAGGCAAUGGUGGUAGUGCUGUCACUUGUAGGAAGUAAAUCCAAAUGGUCCGGAGGGGCCUGAGGUGAAGGGACGGGUCCUGGCACCUAAGCGUCUCCAAUCUGCCAGCAACAAUUCUGCCCCAAACAAGAAGGAUGCAUGUUGUGGACUCUCAGCUUAUGAGCUCCAACGCCUGAAGAACAUCGGGGAGAGGGAAGCCUUCUUGUCGUCCUUGAUGUUAUUGCAAGUAGGUGGACAUGUUGACUGGAACUCUAACCAACACAAGAUUGAUCGACUUGUCUCUCUCUCCCCUCCCCC